ensembl:lncRNA
CAAGCAUCCCAAUACAGGAUGUCCCUUAAAUAGGUUGAGUAUGGAUUCUGGCGUGGCUGAAUGUUGAGCUCACCCCAAGCAUGGUCUGCAGGCUCCUUGGCUCCCAGGAAGCGGUGAGCAGCAAGAGAACUACCAGAACAUUGGUACCUUGACUUCUGAUGUGUGAUGGAGGGAAACGUUUGGAUCUUCUCAGGAGGAUGCAAAUGAAAGCAUGAAGACUUCAGACAUCACAGAGGCUCAGAAAAAACUCAGAAAAAGACAGAGAAUGAGAGAACAGAAGAAGUUGAAGCAGCAGAAUCUUCUUCUAUGAGAUAUUCUUUUUGAAAUUUAUGCAAAGAGAAUGCAGCUUUGUAAAGGGAGCUGAGCAUAAUCCCAAACACUGAUGAGAAUGCUUGGACAAUGAAGAGAUCAAGCCUCCGCACUAACCAGCAGGCCAUCAGGAGGGGGUGGAUGUUUCAGCUCUCUCCUUAAGCCACUGUGCUUUGCAUGAGAUAAUUCAGUAUGAAUUGGACCAGAGAGAGAGAGAGAGAGACAUCAGUGAAUGUAAUUUUUGAACCCCAGAGGCCAGUCAGCUACUGGAGGGAAGGGAGCUGCACUUGAGUCCCACUUCUAAUUAACGUAACUGUUAAUUAGUGUGGAAAACAGCAAAAAAGACCUGCCAGGAGGAUUUCAGAACCCACCAGACUGCAGCCUAACAGUUAGGACAUGCUUGCGUGAGUUUAACUGUUCUUGGUUAAGAGACAGACUUAAAAUCUCUGACUCUUGGAUUAAAAAAAAAAAAAAAAAAAAAAAAAAAAAGAAGAAGAAAAAGAAGAAAAAGAAAAAGAAAGACCGGAUAAAAUGGAAAUAGAAACAAAACACUUCAAUUUGCUGAGAAUGAAAUCUGUGCAAACACUUUUUGUAAUCCUCAACUAGAUUCAGAGAAAUGAGUGGUUUUUAAACCCUGACAGUGUAUAAAUAUAAAUUACAUGCUUAGCUGCUCAGUGCCAUCAAAAUGUGCAUGGUUCUGGGCAUACCCUGAAGGAG